rnacentral:lncRNA from 1 species
CCAGGUUCUAUAGACCUUUACAUAACUUACGAAUUUAAUAUCAUUACACAACAUAGUACUAACAAUAUUUAUUACAUUUACUACUUAAAUAAGCACAUGCGCUUAAUAAAAGACUAUUCAACAACUUUGUUCUUUCCCUUGUCUUUUCCAGAUGGACCAGCAACUUCAUUCUUAACUGAAAACAUUAUAUUUAACGCAAGGGUGAGCAACAAGUUUGCUCAGCAAGGAAAUAAGCAGCUAAAUAUAAUGGAACAGAAAUAUUAUAUCAAUGAGGAUUCAAUAAUAAAUACUGAACAAGAUACUUCUUUAAAAGUGUUGAGUCUGAAAAAUUAGACUUUAGCAUGCUGUAAGGUCAAAUGACCAGUGAACUCUUUACUAGAAUUGACAGUAAUAAUACUACAAUUCAUGGAUACAUACAGUUUAUAAAAGCUGUUUUAUAUCCUAGACUCGUACUUUAGGGGAUCAGCCUAAGUACCCUAUAUUGUGCACAACAUAACAGUCUAAUGACACUUUACAUGUCCUUCGGAAUCAUAUGUCCGAUACAAUAUUCCCCUAUAAAAGGGUUGUUCGUUCACAGCAUUAUGUAAGAAUCCAUACCAUAACAACAAAAUGGUUUGGAAAGCAUUAUAUAAGAAUCCAUACCAUAACAACAAAAUGGUUUGGAAAGCAUUAACUGAUAACUUCAUGAAUAAUAUCAAUAUAUCUCAACAUUUGUCUAACCGAAGUAAUGGUAUUGACAUACUUUCAAUGUAAACUUAUUCAAGAUAGAAAAGUUGAUAUUCUAUUCUUUUGAAGCUGAUUGGAAUAAAAAGGCUAUUUGACCUUAUAUUAUUCAUAAAUAAGGACAGACAGUUCAGAAAUUAAAGAACCUGUCCACUGCAGAAUAAUUGCUCAAUAAAGAGUAAGAGUUAGAAACUUGCCUCGUUGGUAGACUAUUGAUUCAGCUUAAUACGUUCACAGAGCCUACACAAUCAUUUGCAUUUUCAAGCUUAUUAGCUAAUUAGCUAAACCACAUAGCUUGUGUAUGAUCACACAUCACAUAAUUUUUGUGGUCAAGUUUGUAGUUAGAUUCCUAUAUUUUAUACAUUUUUCAAAUAUCUCAUCCAUGUUUUCACAUUAGUCCAUUUUCACUUUGAUGGGGUUCGGCAUACUUGCAACAAGUAAUAGGAAUCAAGCAUAUACGUUAGCCACAUAGUCAAGUUAUAUAUCACAUAGUUUCAGUGGUCAUGGAUAGAUUUCUUAUAUGUAAUACAUUUUUCAAAUAUCUCAUCCAUGUUUUUAUCUUCACCAUUUUUCUCUUUAAUGGUGUCACACAAUAUGUAUAUAGUUUACAUCUUAUUAGGAUUUAACACAUAAGUGUCUCAUGCCUUGUUUAUAGAAAUUCUAGCAUACAAGGUAGCUUAUUUUAUAUUUUUAAAGGUAUUUCUAAUUUUACAUGGUUAACUUUUGUCUAUCCCAUGAUUAAAAGCUUUACCCAAAACAGUUCCUUUGAGGUUAAAACAGUCCCACUCUAAAUCUUUUUAUUAGAUGUACCAAUUGGUUCCUCAGUUUAUUUUCAAUACUAACUAGCUAUCCAGAACUGCCAUAGCAGUUGCUUGUUAUGCCCAGCUGCUGCUGCUGGCUAAAGGCAGUAGCUCCUUCUUCUUUUCUAAUCCCAUGUUCCUUUAAGUCUUACCAUGAAUCUGUAAUACUUCAUGAGAUUAACAGUUUUUAAGUUUUAACAAUAAGGAUCUUAAUGUAGUUUAAGUUAUUCUUAGCUUUAACUGAAUUUGGCAAGCUUAUCACUGCAAUAGCAGUUAAGUGAGGCCACUUCUGUUGUUGACUGCUAGGCAGUCCCAUGAUUUUUUUUUUAUCACCUUUUCAGUCUCAACUUGCAAACCUACUCAAACUACAUCGAAUGAUUAGCUUCCUAAAAUUACAACUCUCAACCAACAUGGUUACCUAAACUGUUUUAGCAGUUACUUGCUAUCAACUGCUGCUGCACAUAGGCAGCAGCCCUCCCUUCUUGCCAACUGCUGCUGCACAUAGGCAGCAGCUGUACUCGAUUAUUUCCUUGCUUUGAAUUCUUCCUAAUCUUAGUUUACUAGUACUUUAUUCGAAAGUCAUACAACUAACAUUUUUAACUUAUUGGGGUAGUUCUAAAUCUGCUAUAACCUACAUGAUUCAAUCAUGUUUGCUACCAGAUCUUUGCAACUGCAAUUGGAGGAAGUCAGAUGAGGAGAAACAGCAAAUCCCCACACUUAGUCUCCAAUUCUCUAAAUUUUAGCUUGCCAUUUACUCAUUUUAGUAAGCUAAAAUUCUGGUUUAUCUAAGUGUAUUCACCUAUUUAGCAAUAUAAGCAUUGUAUGGUUUAGUUUCUUUAAUCGCAUUGACUGAGAACUCAAGAGAGUCCCCAGCUCAUGCCAACUGAGAGCUUGAAAAGCUGCAACUAUUGCACAAGACUGUUGCUACCGUGGGCAGCAACUGAACCACUGAUUUCAUACCGUCUUUGGCUUGAAAUUGAGUUUUCAUUUUGGUUUGGCAUGUUGAUUCACUUUGUUUAUAAGCUCUUAUAGCAUACCAAUUACCCCAGACCUUAAUUCUUUCUAGAAUUCAAAUUUUUUUCUCAAAACAGCCCACUGGGGACUUUUGACGAACACGUGGCGUGCACAGUUUAAAAUUUCUUGUGUCAUAGACAUUCGCUCGUGUAAGAAAGCCAAUUUUGUCUUCCUUAUUACUCCUCAGCCCAUCCUAUCUCCUCUACUCAAAUUCAGUACAUAACACUAUCACAAUGGCAUAACAGUCAAUUAACAGUAUAUAUAACAACCCAAAAAAAAAAUCAUAUAGCAGUCCCUAUGUCUAUACCAGCCCCUUUAGGCAAGGUUCAGUGCUAAGCCAUCAAAACAGUCCUUAUAAUACAAUGACAGUUUGUAAAACAACACAUAUAGUGCUAGCAGUCGGUCAUCAUGGAAAUAUAGCAUAGCAUGCCAGUCCAGUCUAUUAUAAUCAUAGUCAGUAUAUCAUAAUAUGGCAGUAUCAUGACUCAGGGAUCCAAAAUAGCUCUUCAAUCUCAUAAUCACAAGGGUUAUAAAAUCAUGCACUUGAUAUAUACUAUAUAUUCAUGAUUUAAAGAUUUGUAUACAAGGUAUUAGUACUCAAACAUACGCUUCCAAAACAGUUUUGAUAAAAACUCAUCAUUGUAGUUCAUAGUAGUAUAGCACAGCAGCAAAAUAGCAUAGCAGUCAUUUUGGCACACAACAGUUAGUACAUCAAAUUUUAAAGUCCAGGAUAGUCUUUAUGCCCAUUUCAAGCCUUUUUGGCAAGGUAUGAUACUAAGCUGCCAAAACAGUCUUUAAGCUUCUAGUACAAGGAUUAACACAUCAUACACAUGCUAUAUAAUCAAUGUUCAUGAUUUAAGAAUCUAAAUACAAGGUUUCUAACUUUGGUUUUAAAACAGCCCCCCUCAUAGGCCUUAAAUUACUACAAGGUAGCAUGCUUGGGCAAUCAUGGAAAAACAAGGACUGUCUAUGUAUAUUAGGUAUUAGAAGCAAAGCAGGCUCACCACAAGAAACUUUCAAUAACAGUUACAUGGACUGACUUUUAUUUAUUGAAACUAACAUACUUAAACUUUACAAGUAUUAGUGUUGGUGGUUUGAAAUUAUAAACAUCAUGUUAUAGUGUAUUAACCAUAUUAGAAGCAAGGGAUAGACAUUGCAAGUUAAGCUUCAAAUAGCAGUCCAUAUGGAGCCUACUAUCCUAGUUCAUUAUUACUUGCUUUGCUCAAGUGAUAUAUAAAUUACUAUAGAUUGCAACAUGAUAAGGUCAAUCAUAGAGUAUGCUUGAGGUAUUGGUCCCACUAUAUAGGCAAUUUGACUGAGUUUGAACUUCAAAUCACAGCUAGUACACAUAGAUACUACAACAGUCCUUAGCUUGGCAAAUUAUCAAACACCUAACGUGCAGCUUAUAUACUUACACAUAAUACAAAAUUCUUAGCUUAUUGUUCCCAGCCUUAUGGCUUGAAAACAACAAGAAGCAUAGAACCAUACUAAACAGUCUUAAUCACAGAAUCCAAAAUAGUAUUGAAACAGUCAUGGUGCGAAUUAAUUCAAUAGCUAUUCUAACCAUUAAUGGUUCUGUGCUACCAUUUAGAGAGAGACAUGAACGAAUGGAAAAGGUUUAGAAUGGCCAGAAUGAGCUUACCUUGUUACUUCGAAUGUUAACAGUGGUUGAAGCUGCUCAGUUCUUCUUCUUUCUCUAACCGAAACUUUUCCCACUCACUCUCUAUAUAGUUGGUAUUGAUAUAGUUUAUAGUUUCUGCUAAGUGGUGAAGCUAAAUUAGGCAAUAAGCUUGGCCUUUUAUGGCUGAGCCUGGCUCCUUCUACUGUUAACUGCAUCACCUCUAGUUGGCCCCCCUAGCAUACACUCCAGUACCUCUAGCAGUUAGACUGCUCUGCAGUGGCUCCUAUACCGCCACCCUACCAGCCCAUAGCACCUACUACACCUUAUCCUUUGCAGUUCUGUCU